rnacentral:lncRNA from 1 species
CUCUGUCUCAGCUGACCGGCUAUCACCUGCUUUAUAAGAUGCCAAGGGCUACCUAUGUAGAUUCUCAGGUGGGACUGUAGGAACAAACCUGUGUCAAUGGUUAACUCAAGUUCUUGGUUUCUGGAGUUUUUCUUUCCUUUAUUAUUAACUAAAGAACAUUUUUACCAUUGCUCAGCUGGGAGCACCAAGCUCAUAGAGCCUCUGCAGGGAGAGUGAAUAAAGGUUUCUAGGUCCAAGAGCUCAGCUUCAGUGGGAGAAAAAUGGCUUUGUCUACACUCUGAAAUGCAUUGCAUUGAAGGAUUCCUAUGUGGAGACAGUUGCAUCCUGGUUUCUCAGCUGGCCAGCCUCAGAGGACUUGGAGGAGAGAUCUCAUCAUCAUCCUUUAAGCCAUAUGUGCCCUGAACUUUGUGGUUAUUAAAAUUGUAAACAGCGGACACAACUUCUCAUUCGGCAUGGAAUUUUGUUAGGAUCUGCUGUAGCAGCUUGUGAAACAGAAGCACGGGAGUACAGACUGAGCAGAACUAGCAGAGUGAAGCUGAGAACGCACUGGCCUUUGUGUGUGGUGAAUGUGUCCGGAAAGGCAAAGAAGGACGAGAUUCUCCUGUGGGGUUUCUCAUCUCCAUGGCGGAAGGUGCUGACAGCUUCAGAGAGAGCAGGAAGGCGCAAAGAAGAAGGGAGCCUGAGAUGUGUAGUCGCGGCGCUCUGA